rnacentral:rRNA from 1 species
UAGGCAGCACAUGACCUUGUAGCAAAGAAGCACGGCUAACUCCUGCCAGCAGCCGCGGUAUACGGAGGUGCAAGCGUUAUCGGAAUUACUGGCGUAAAGCGUACUAGGCGGCGUGUAAGCAAGAUGUAUAGCCCCGGGCUCAUCCUGGGAACUGCACAUUGAACUGGCAUGCUAGAGUCCUGAAGAGGCUGGUAGAAUCUCCAGUGCAGCGGUGAAAUGCGUAGAUAUAGGAAGGAAUACCGGUGCCGAAGGCGUCCACCUGCUCAGAGACUGACGCUGAGGUACGAAAGCGUGGGGAGCAAACAGGAUUAGAUACCCUGGUAGUCCUCGCCGUAAACGAUGUCAACUAGUUGUUCGUGUCAUUAAGACGUGAGUAACGCAGCUACCGCAUUAAGUUGACCGCCUGGGGAGUCCGGCCGCAAGGUUAAAACUCAAAUGAAUUGACGGGCGCCCGCACAAGCGGUGGAGCAUGCGGCUUAAUUCGAUGCAACGAGAAGAACCUUACCAUCCCUCGACAUCCAGUGAAUUUUUCAGAGAUGAACUAGUUCUUUCGCGAACACUGAGACAGCUCCUGCAUGCCUGUCGUCAGCUUGUGUUCUGAGAUGCUGGGUUAAGUCCCGCAAUGAGCGCAACCAUCAUCCUUAGUUGCCAGCCCGUAAAGGCGGGAACUCCCGGGAGACUGCCGGUGAUAAACCGGAUGAAGGUGGGGACGACGUCAAGUCAUCAUGGCCCUUACGGGAUGGGACACACACGUGCUACAAUGGCGCAUACAAAGGGCAGCAAGCCCGCGAUGGUAAGUGAAUCUCAUAAAGUGCGUCCGUAGUCCGGAUCGGAGUCUGCAACUCGACUCCUGAAGUUGAAUCGCU